GCCCUCGGUGGCUCAGAUGGAUAGAGCAUCUGCCAUGUAAGCAGGAGAUCCUGGGUUCGAGUCCCGGUCGGGGCA
rnacentral:tRNA from 1 species